rnacentral:lncRNA from 1 species
AAACAAUCUGUUUAUGACUCUCACAGUCUGUGUAUUUUGCUACUGUAGGAAAACAUCCCACACAAAGAAAAGUUGUUCAUAUUUGAACAUUGACUAUGACCAAGUUUGUCCACAGGUACUUCAGGAUUCAUUGUGUGGCCACAUGCCAUUAUUCCAGUAGGGCAAAGAGAUCAUUUGAAGCCCCCAACGC